GGUCAAGCUAAUUAGGGCUAAUGGUCGAUACCUAGGCACACAGAGGCGAAGAAGGACGUAGUUACCGACGAAACGCUCCGGGGAGCUGGAAGCUUGCGAUUGAUCCGGAGAUAUCCGAAUGGGGCAACCCCAAGUACUGCCUGUUGAAUAUAUAGACAGGAAAGAGCCAACCCAGCGAACUGAAACAUCUUAGUAGCUGGAGGAAGAGAAAGAAAUUUCGAUUUCCCAAGUAGUGGUGAGCGAACGGGAAACAGCCUAAACCAACGAGUUUACUUGUUGGGGUCGUGGGACAGCAAUAUCGAAUCUGGCGGUUAGACGAAGCAGAUAAAUACUGCACCAAAGAAGGUGAAAGUCCUGUAGUCGAAAACUUAAGGAUAGUAGCUGAAUCCCGAGUAGCAUGGGACACGAGAAAUCCCAUGUGAAUCUGCGAGGACCAUCUCGUAAGGCUAAAUACUACUGUGUGACCGAUAGUGAACCAGUACCGCGAGGGAAAGGUGAAAAGAACCCCGAAUAGGGGAGUGAAAUAGAACAUGAAACCAUUAGCCUACAAGUAGUGGAAGGACGAUUUAACGUCUAACCGCGUGCCUGUUGAAGAAUGAGCCGGCGAGUUAUAAGCAGUGGUAGGUUAAGUCAAAGACGUAGCCAAAGCGAAAGCGAGUCUGAAUGGGGCGUUAAUCACUGUUUAUAGACCCGAACCCGGGUGAUCUAACCAUGUCCAGGAUGAAGCUUGGGUAACACCAAGUGGAGGUCCGAACCGACCGAUGUUGAAAAAUCGGCGGAUGAGGUGUGGUUAGGGGUGAAAUGCCAAUCGAACCCGGAGCUAGCUGGUUCUCCCCGAAAUGUGUUUAGGCGCAGCGGUAACGAAUAUAUCUGGGGGGUAAAGCACUGUUGAGGUGCGGGCUGGGAGACCGGUACCAAAUCUCGGCAAACUCAGAAUACCCAGAGCACACGUUGCCAGUGAGACGGUGGGGGAUAAGCUUCAUCGUCAAGAGGGAAACAGCCCAGACCACCAGCUAAGGUCCCCAAAUCAUCGCUAAGUGGUAAAGGAGGUGAGAGUGCACAGACAACCAGGAGGUUUGCCUAGAAGCAGCCACCCUUGAAAGAGUGCGUAAUAGCUCACUGGUCAAGCGCUCUUGCGCCGAAAAUGAACGGGACUAAGCGAUGUACCGAAGCUGUGGACUUAGAAAUAAGUGGUAGGGGAGCGUUCCGUUGUAGGUAGAAGCAGUAGCGGCAAGCAGCUGUGGACGAAACGGAAGUGAGAAUGUCGGCUUGAGUAGCGAAAACAUUGGUGAGAAUCCAAAGCCCCGUAACCCCAAGGGUUCCAGAGCAAGGUUCGUCCACUCUGGGUUAGUCGGGUCCUAAGGCGAGGCCAAACGGCGUAGUCGAUGGACACAGGGUCAAUAAUCCCUGACUAUUGAGUGGGAGCAUAUUAAGGGACGCAUGACGAUAAGCCACACCCUAAUUGGAUUGGGAGGAGUUUACGAACUCCGCGUGGUGAACAAUAGUGCCAAGAAAAGCUUGAUAUGUGAUGAAAGCUCAAUACCCGUACCCGAAACCGACACAGGUGGGGAGGUUGAGAAUACCAAGGGGCGCGAGAUAACUCUCUCUAAGGAACUCGGCAAAAUUGCCCCGUAACUUCGGAAUAAGGGGUGCCCACGCAAGUGGGUUGCAGUGAAGAGGCCCAGGCGACUGUUUACCAAAAACACAGGUCUCCGCAAACUCGUAAGAGGACGUAUGGGGGCUGACGCCUGCCCAGUGCCGGAAGGUUAAAGAAGUUGGUCAGGGGGARACCCUAAAGCUGACGACUGAAGCCCCGGUGAACGGCGGCCGUAACUAUAACGGUCCUAAGGUAGCGAAAUUCCUUGUCGGGUAAGUUCCGACCCGCACGAAAGGCGUAACGAUCUGGGCGCUGUCUCGGAGAGAGACUCGGCGAAAUAAGAAUGUCUGUGAAGAUACGGACUACCUGCACCUGGACAGAAAGACCCUAUGAAGCUUUACUGUAGCCUGUAAUUGGUUACUGGUUUUGACUACGCAGUAUAGGUGGGAGGCAUUGAAAGUUCCCUUGUGGGGGGACUGGAGCCGACAGUGAGAUACCACUUUGUCAGAACUGGGAGCCUAACUAGUAGCCGUUAUCCGGCACUGGGACAGUUUCAGGUGGGCAGUUUGACUGGGGCGGUCGCCUCCUAAAAGGUAACGGAGGCGCACAAAGGUUCCCUCAGCACGGUUGGAAAUCGUGCGUUGAGUGUAAAGGCAAUAAGGGAGCUUGACUGCAAGAGUUACAACUCGAGCAGGGUGGAAACACGGUCUUAGUGAUCCGACGGCACAGCGUGGAAUGGCCGUCGCUCAACGGAUAAAAGUUACUCUAGGGAUAACAGGCUGAUCUCCGCCAAGAGUUCACAUCGACGCGGAGGUUUGGCACCUCGAUGUCGGCUCAUCGCAACCUGGGGCGGAAGUACGUCCCAAGGGUUGGGCUGUUCGCCCAUUAAAGCGGUACGUGAGCUGGGUUCAGAACGUCGUGAGACAGUUCGGUCCAUAUCCGGUGCAGGCGCAAGAGCAUUGAGAGGAGUCCUCCUUAGUACGAGAGGACCGGGAGGAACGCACCGCUGGUGUACCAGUUAUCGUGCCAACGGUAAACGCUGGGUAGCCAAGUGCGGAGUGGAUAACUGCUGAAAGCAUCUAAGUGGGAAGCCCACCUUAAGAUGAGUGCUCUCAUGGCAUAAGCCAGUAAGGUCACAGGUAGAUUACCUGUUGAUAGGCGGUAGGUGGAAGUGCAGUAAUGUAUGCAGCCGAGCCGUGCUAACAGACCGAGGGCUUGACCUC
rnacentral:rRNA from 1 species